UACGGGGGGGGUAAGCGUUGUUCGGAAUUACUGGGCGUAAAGGGCUCGUAGGCGGCCAACUAAGUCAGACGUGAAAUCCCUCAGCUUAACUGGGGAACUGCGUCUGAUACUGGAUGGCUUGGAUUCGGGAGAGGAAUGCGGAAUUCCAGGUGUAGCGGUGAAAUGCGUAGAUAUCUGGAGGAACACCGGUGACGAAGGCGGCAUUCUGGACCGAUAUUGACGCUGAGGAGCGAAAGCCAGGGGAGCAAACGGG
rnacentral:rRNA from 1 species